UGGUACACAAAUUCAGGAGUCUUUAUUUUGAAACAAUUCUUCCAACGAUAUUUCACAAUGAACAAGAACUUAACCAAAAAUUUAUUUAGCAUAAAUUUAAGAUGAAAAUUGAAAUCAACCUGUUUUUGUCCAAUACCUAAAUCCAUCUUGGUCUUCAUAAAUCUUGGCAUAUUAACACAUCUUCCAAGACAUACCCUGCUGACUAAAAGGGGCUUGCUUUCUUUUUUUUUUUUUUCCUUCAGAUUUCAAAUUCUCUUGCUCACUAUUUCCAGCCCUAAGUGCUAAGGUACUUUCUCUAGCAGCUAUUAGGGCUGAGAUUAAUUUCUCAUAAACUAUUCCUGAAAGCAAGUCCUGUCCUUGACUAAUGGUAAAUACAUGUUAAAUUCUCUGGACCCUGAUCUUGUGAUAACUUUCAGUUAUUACCUAAAUAUUUUCUAAGGCAAAAGUAACUACUUUUGAAGAAAUAAUGAACCAUGUACUUGUGCCAAAAUAGAUUUUGCCAAAUUAAAAUUUACGUUCUCAUUCUCGAAAAUAAGGUACAUUCUAAGUUAAUAUGGAUAAGGAAAGGCACAAUCUCAAUGAGUAGUAAGUCUCAAACUGCACUUUCAGAAACUCUAAGGGUCACGGAAAAUUAAGGUACCAACUGGAUGUGAACUUCACAAACAAUGAACUAAUAGAAUGCCUUCACAGUUCAAUUAAAACGCACAGGCCUUUCCAAAUAUCCUAUUUUGAGAGAGUCAAUUUCAGGGAUAUUUUUCCUUCCUUAAAUGGAAGAAUUUCCUAAUGGAAGCAUAAGCUCAUCAUCAAUCAGCAGGUGAGACUCAAAAUUGAAUGAUGUCUACUUUAUUGACUUAAGGGUCAGGAAGAAUCAAGACUAACCUUCAUAUAUGCCUAAGGAUAUUCUCAUUGUAUCACUGUUUUUAGCAGAAAAACUAAAUAAACAAAUAUUCUUCAAAAAGGGGCAUCCAUAUAUUGGUAUCUUGACUUCAUUAGGAGAUAAUGAGUUAGAGCUGGAUGUGGUAAUAUGGAAAGAUAAUCAAGUUAAAACAAAGAGAACCAAGUUUUAUAAAACCAUACAUUUAAAAUAAGGGAGGACAGUGAGAGGCAUACACACACACACAUACACACACACAUAUAAAGAGGUAUAUAAAAUAAACGUUAACAUUUCUGACAGCCUAUACAAGAACACAAGAAACGGUAUUUCCUUGGAAUGUGGGAAUCAAGUCACAGGAAGGCGACAAGCUUCUUCACUUUACAUCCUUUGUACAAUGCAUAAUUUUUAAACAUCAUAAACAUGUACUAUUUAUGGUAACAUAUUAAAAAACCUUUAAAGUCUUUAAAAAACCUGAUUGUAUCCAUAGCAUUCUAUGAAACACUAACAUCAAGUCACAAUCCUUUGAUGCCUUUUAUUUAAUGGUCGUUUAGUCAAAAUUAGAAGGCUUCCUGGCGUAUUUGCUUCCUCGGUCCCUCCACUUGAGACUGAGGGAAAAUGUUGAGAAUUUAGUUGAAGUUGUAACGCUCACUGUUUGCACUGUAACUUGGAUAACAUCUUCUCAAGAUUUCAGAGAACAAAUUAAAACAUUACUCAAUGGGCAUUUAAAUCACCACUUAUAUCCAGGAUCACUUUUCCUUGUCCCAAAAGCCUGAAUCACGGCACUCUGUUUUCAUUAAAUUCCACAGACCUGUGAGUUGGACAAGCACAGAUUUCAAAAAUAUACUGAUGUAUACGCUGAAUUCUUAUCCACUGGCAUAAAAUAAGCAGAAUACAUAGAAGCAAGCAGGUCUGAAAGGAAAUACAUUUUUGGUGUAAGUCUUCACCAGAAAAUGACAAUAUAAAUUCAAAUCCUCUAAGACCCCAAAACCAGAAGAGUUAAGAGGUGACAUAAGAAACGCCCUUUUCUGGAGUUCCCGUUGUGGCGCAGUGGUUAAGGAAUCCGACUAGGAACCAUGAGGUUGCGGGUUCGGUCCCUGCCCUUGCUCAGUGGGUUAACGAUCUGGCGUUGCCAUGAGCUGUGGUGUAGGUUACAGACGCGGCUCGGAUCCCGCGUUGCUGUGGCUCUGUCGUAGGCCAGUGGCUACAGCUCUGAUUCGACCCCUAGCCUGGGAACCUCCAUAUGCCGUGGGAGCGGCCCAAAGAAAUAGCAAAAAGACAAAAAAAAAAAAAAAAUAAAAAAAAUAAAAAAAUAAAAGAAACGCCCUUUUCUGUCUACAAAGGCUAUGUCAAUUCAGAGGCCUUAAAAUGCAUCUGAAUGCCCGAGGCUUCAAAAAACUGGUAGUGGUAGGCUAGUGGCCACCUUGAAUGUGAAUACUCUUCGAGCUGUACAAAAUCCAAGUUUUCAAAACACUGCAAGGGUCAAACACAACACAACUGCAGAGAGAAUUCAGAGUAUUUGCCAUGAAUGUGCAACCUUUACAUUCGCACAGUAACUCAACUUUUUAAAACCAGAUUUCACGACACUUGCUUGGGUCUUUCCAGAUUAAAAACUCUAGUGCCCAGGUACGCUUCUAGAAAUAAACUAGUGUCCAUAUGCUUGCUAAAUUAACAUAAAACAGAAGGCUCUUCAAAGAUCGGAUAUAAUCACCAAACAAUAAAUUUAAGGAAGUGAGUUGUGGAAUGACACAUCAGGGCUGUGUUGGAGCUGGCACUCCAGCCAGCUCUCUCUCUAAUUGCACGUUUAAUGACAUCAGAUGGGUAGGUGAACUCAGCCAUGGUGAGAGUAUUUAUACCACAAAUGUCAGUAAACACUAAAGAACAGCAGUUCCUCUUGAGAGAAAAACACCCACCAGCACAGCACUGGAUUACAUCAUGGUCAUAUAUUCACCUGUUCAAAUCUACCACAUAAAAAUUUUAGUGAAAGACAUGUUUUAAAACAUACAAACAAAAAUUUAACUAAUGAAGACAAAUUUAAUACACUAGGUCAGUACAAACUUUAGUAACAACAUCCCUAUAAAAGUAAAUUUUACUACUGUCAAGGGCACAAACUUUAUCAAAGUUGCAAUGUUUCACAAAAUAGGAGUCAUUGCGAUACUUCAGAUGUCUCCGGUUUAAAACCUGAUCUGCUUAUCACCCCAUUAAUUUAUUUGUAGAGUUAAACUAUUGAUUUCAUCAAAUUAUACAUAGAACCCAAAUUUAAAAUGAUUAGGUUUUAUUGGGUAUAUAUAGAAUAUAGAAAGUAACUCUUAGAAUUUCCUAAGAUUUAAAAAAAAAAUCUACUCACACAUAAAUGUGACAGCAUUUUAAUCUGACAAUAAAAUAUUUGCUCCCUAGGGCAAAAGCUCUAUUGUUAGCCUAUGCUUUGCUUCUUUCACCCUUAAGUAUGAGUCCACUUUAGGGACUAUAUGAGAGAACAAAAGAAAAGCAUUUAGCAAGUUUCUGAUACACUGAAAGAGCUUGUUAGAUCACACCCCAUAAAGGCCGCCAUUCAUUUUAUUUUGAAGUCAUGACUUUUUAAAAAAAUGUAUCUUCAUAAGGUCCCCUAGAGAUUAGUUUUCUGAUGUAAGUCUGAGACUGCAAGUGGAGGCCAAAAAUGAGGCAAGCCACUCUGAACACGGAGUUCAGGACAGGAGGACAAACACAGGGACAAAGAGGCCCAAGAAGCAGAGCACAGGCGUGCCUGGGGACGGCAAAGUGUUUUGCAGUAUUGCCAACAAUAGCAACACAGCCAGCGCUUGUGGUGAUUACGUAUUGUAAACUACCUUUUAUAAAGUCACUAUGUCUUCAAAAGAAUUUAAAAAUAUUUUGUUAAAUAAGCAACAAGAGCUCUCUCUAAAGAUGGACAAGGUAUAAAAAGCUUGGGGGUGGGGGGGAGCAGCAAACAUCAUCUUCCUUAAGAAGUAAACACAUUCCUUUAGUUGUAGCUGACUACUUGGAGGGAAAAAUAAGAAACUAUUCUUCAUUUUGAAUUUUUCCUCAGCAAGUUUAUUGAUGGCCCCCCCAAACCAAUUAUGCAAUUUUAAAGUGGUCAGAAUAGUAAAUAACUCCAAAAUAAACACCAAUAACUACGAGUCAGGACUUGUAAUAUCCUUUUCAAAAAAAAGGAGAUAUUCACCACUUUUAUCAUUACUGAAAUAUAUUCAAAUAAAAAUAGAAGAAAACUCAGAAAACGAUGUUUUAAAAGUUUGCAAUUUCAACAGAAAUUUUGAUUUUUCCCACCAAGCCAACAAAAACACUUAGAAGUUCAGGGCGUAGUACAUUUACCCUACAACUAAACACUGUUGCUCCAGAAACACACACAUUUAAAGUAUAGUGCAACGGUUCUCAGUGUGGUCUGAGGACCCUUGAGGGUCCCCCAAACCCAAGGUCAAAGCUAUUUUCAUAAUACUACAAUGUUGUAUGUCUGUUCCAUUCGUGGUUUCGCAAGUGCAUGAUGGAAUUUUCCAGUGCCCACAUGCCAUGUCAUAUGAAAAGAAUUGCAAUGUGACAGUAUGAGAAUCCCACUGCUUCUAUUAAGCCAGAUAUUAAAGAGAUGCACAAAGGUAAAACAAUGGUCUUCUGAUUGUUUUUGGAAAACAGUUCUGUCAUCAAAAUGUAUUUAUGUUAACAUGUAACGGGGCUUAUUACUGUUAUCUUUAAAUGACAUGUUUUUUAAAUAUCUCAGUGUUAAUUUCUAAUUUAGCAAAUUCUGACAGACACAAGCCACAUACACAAAAGCUCUCUGGGGAUCUUCAAUAAUUUAGAAGUCCUGAGACCAAAGUGUUUCAGAACUGCUGGUGGUACUGUGAUAUGAAAGCAGCCAAUGAGUCUAUGGCCAUACCACCCUCAACACGCCUAUCUCAUCUGAAAGCAGCCAGUUAGUUACUCUCUUCAUUUUACUAACUUACAAGAACCGAACACCAAAGAUGAGGUAUGCUAGGAGCAGGGGCAACUCUCGAGUAAAGAAAGCACUGAUAGGCUUUUCCAAAUUUACAGAAGGAAUCAUUCUAUGGAAGAAAAUGAUUACCUAAUCUCUACCUUCACAAAAAUGAGAAUAAAAAUAUGACUUUAAAGGUACCAAUAAAAUUUGCCACCCUAAAAGAAAAGAACAUUUUCUUUCCUGAGCAAACGCAGGAGAGAUCUGAUUCAACUAGAAAGUUGGGAAGCUUGUGUCUUCAUCCUUGCCACCUCUGAGUAUUUUCUCCUCAGUACUCAACACGAGUCUGACGGUCAUAUAAAACCAGAAGCAGCUAUGAAUGUGAAAGCCUAACUGAGAGAUAAAUUCAUAUGAAAGCUGGCUCACUUCCUAUACUAGACACCUCCAUUUUACAAACACUCAUUUAAAGUCAACGAGAGUUCCCACUCCAUUACGAACCUCCAUAUUCACCCAGAAAAAAUAGUCUUUGAAAUUAUUUUAAUAACUGUUUAAUGUACUUAUUUCUUAGAUGGAAAGCCUGGUGGAUUAACUGAGUAACGACCUACAAUCGUAUAGCACGACUUUGUACAUGAGUUGAUUGGGACCCAAUACAAUCUAAAGAUAGGAAUUCCAAGACAUUUUGUGUACUCCCUCCAUGAGAAGGGGGCUGGAGGGUGACUCCAAAAAUGUAGAGACAUUUCAAGUAUACACCAACACACACCCAGACCUUUGCAGCAUUCAUUUAAUUCUAAAAGAGGCAUUCCGCUCAGAAAAAGGGCAGAGAUUUCCCAGUCUCCUUGCUUAUCAUAGUUCAGAUACCA
rnacentral:lncRNA from 1 species